rnacentral:rRNA from 1 species
AUUGAACGCUGGCGGCAUGCCUAACACAUGCAAGUCGAACGGAAACGACGAAACAAUCCUUCGGGUGCGUCUUCGGGCGUCGAGUGGCGGACGGGUGCGUAACGCGUAGGGAAUCUACCUUAUAGUGGGGGACAACUCGGGGAAACUCGAGCUAAUACCGCAUAAGCCUUACGAGGGAAAGCAGGGGAUCUUCGGGACCUUGCGCUAUUAGAUGAGCCUGCGUCGGAUUAGCUUGUUGGUAGGGUAAUGGCCUACCAAGGCAACGAUCCGUAGCUGGUCUGAGAGGAUGAUCAGCCACACUGGGACUGAGACACGGCCCAG